UACGGGGGGGGUAAGCGUUGUUCGGAAUUACUGGGCGUAAAGGGCUCGUAGGCGGCCAACUAAGUCAUACGUGAAAUCCCUCAGCUUAACUGGGGAACUGCGUGUGAUACUGGAUGGCUUGGAUUCGGGAGAGGGAUGCGGAAUUCCAGGUGUAGCGGUGAAAUGCGUAGAUAUCUGGAGGAACACCGGUGGCGAAGGCGGCAUCCUGGACCGAUAUUGACGCUGAGGAGCGAAAGCCAGGGGAGCAAACGGG
rnacentral:rRNA from 1 species